rnacentral:rRNA from 1 species
CCUACGGGAGGCAGCAGUGGGGAAUAUUGCGCAAUGGGCGAAAGCCUGACGCAGCGACGCCGCGUGAGGGAUGAAGGUCUUCGGAUCGUAAACCUCUGUCAGCAGGGAAGAACGGUCACUGUGCUAAUCAGCAGUGAAUUGACGGUACCUGCAAAGGAAGCACCGGCUAACUCCGUGCCAGCAGCCGCGGUAAUACGGAGGGUGCGAGCGUUAAUCGGAAUUACUGGGCGUAAAGCGCUCGUAGGCGGUAUGUCAAGUCAAGGGUGAAAUCCCCGCGCUCAACGUGGGAACUGCCUUUGAAACUGGCAAACUGGAGUGUGUGAGAGGAUAGUGGAAUUCCAGGUGUAGGGGUGAAAUGCGUAGAUAUCUGGAGGAACAUCAGUGGCGAAGGCGACUAUCUGGCACAUAACUGACGCUGAGGAGCGAAAGCGUGGGUAGCAAACAGGAUUAGAUACCCUGGUAGUC